AUUUUAAUAGUUUAAUUAAAAAUAUUAAAUUGCAAAUUUAAAGAUAAUUUUAUAUUUUAAAAUU
rnacentral:tRNA from 1 species